GACGAACGCUGGCGGCGUGCUUAACACAUGCAAGUCGAACGGUGAUGCCCAGCUUGCUGGGCGGAUCAGUGGCGAACGGGUGAGUAACACGUGAGUAACCUGCCCCAGACUCCGGGAUAAGCCUUGGAAACGAGGUCUAAUACUGGAUACGAGAUGCCCCUGCAUGGGGAGUGUCUGGAAAGAUUUAUCGGUCUGGGAUGGACUCGCGGCCUAUCAGCUUGUUGGUGGGGUAAUGGCCUACCAAGGCGACGACGGGUAGCCGGCCUGAGAGGGCGACCGGCCACACUGGGACUGAGACACGGCCCAGACUCCUACGGGAGGCAGCAGUGGGGAAUAUUGCACAAUGGGCGAAAGCCUGAUGCAGCGACGCCGCGUGAGGGAUGAAGGCCUUCGGGUUGUAAACCUCUUUCAGCAGGGAAGAAGCGCAAGUGACGGUACCUGCAGAAGAAGCGCCGGCUAACUACGUGCCAGCAGCCGCCGUAACAC
rnacentral:rRNA from 1 species